AUUCACAUAGCACAAAUAAUAAAAUUGAAAUGAUGCAGAGAAAAUUAGCAUGGCCCCUGCUCAAGGAUGAUGUAAAUUUUUGGAGUGUUUCAUGUUUUAUUU